GCGCGCAGGCGGUUUCUUAAGUCUGAUGUGAAAGCCCCCGGCUCAACCGGGGAGGGUCAUUGGAAACUGGGGAACUUGAGUGCAGAAGAGGAGAGUGGAAUUCCACGUGUAGCGGUGAAAUGCGUAGAGAUGUGGAGGAACACCAGUGGCGAAGGCGACUCUCUGGUCUGUAACUGACGCUGAGGCGCGAAAGCGUGGGGAGCGAACAGGAUUAGAUACCCUGGUAGUCCACGCCGUAAACGAUGAGUGCUAAGUGUUAGAGGGUUUCCGCCCUUUAGUGCUGCAGCAAACGCAUUAAGCACUCCGCCUGGGGAGUACGGUCGCAAGACUGAAACUCAAAGGAAUUGACGGGGGCCCGCACAAGCGGUG
rnacentral:rRNA from 1 species